rnacentral:rRNA from 1 species
AUUGAACGCUGGCGGCAGGCCUAACACAUGCAAGUCGAGCGAGCGGCGGACGGGUGAGUAAUGUAUAGGGGCUGCCCGAUGGAGGGGGAGAACUACUGGCAACGGUAGCUAAUACCGCGUACUAUCGGAGAAGCCAUAUGGGGUUAGCUGGUAGGUGAGGUAAAGGCUCACCGAGGCGACGAUCCCUAGCUGGUCUGGGAGGAUGAUCAGCCACACGGGGAAUGAGACACGGCCCAGACUCCUACGGAGGCAGCAGUGGGGAAUAUUGGACAAUGGGCGCAAGCCUGAUGCAGCCAUGCCGCGUGUAUGAAGAAGGCCCUAGGGUUGUAAAGUACUUUUAGUCGGGAGGCGUUACCGACAGAAGAAGCACCGGCUAACUCCGUGCCAGCAGCCGCGGUAAUUC